rnacentral:lncRNA from 1 species
GUUUCCUUUUUCUGGUGCUCUUUUGGUUUUGAGGUUUUGAGAUCUUUGCAUGGGUUCAGGUUGGAAAUUUGCAAUGCCACCAGGAAACAGUGUUUUUUUGUAUUCAUGCCACAAUUAUGGGCAACACGGCAGGGCAAAGUUUGCCUCAAGUCCUGGCUCGUUUGUACCCUUGAUUUGCAUUCAAGAAAGCAAGUCUGUGCCCGAAUGGAUGCAGCACAUUUUUAAUAUUCUGCAAAGUAAUCGAGGUUCAUUUGCCGAGGCUGCAUGGAGUAUGCGAAGCAAAGCAGUGUCAUGCUGACGCGAAGACGACGACGUUGUAUCUGGCGGUGGUUCUUGAGACAGCGCGGUUCGAUCCAGCUGUGGGCCGGACGUCACCCAGCAGAAAUGGCAGUGUGUUAUCACCAGCUACGAGGCGCGCAUACGGACAUUGUCCAGAAACAAUCACGUCAUCUCCAGAGCGCCACGCGACCACGAUGGGACUGCCAACGAUGGCCUGCUCACCGACAGCUCCCCGCCAGCCGGCGACGUUCCGCCAGCCAACGGGCUUCCGCCAGCCAACGGCGUUCUGCCCGCCGAUGGUGGCCCGACGACCGACGGUCGCUCGCAGGCCGAAGGUGAUCCGGUAGCCGAACGAGGCUCGCCGACCUACGCCGAUCGACGCCGGCCCGCCCGCCGACGGCGCCCUGCCAGCCGACCGCGUCCCGCUCGCCGACGGCGUCGAUACGCCGGCGCGCGUAUCGACAGAAACGAUCACAUUAUGUCCAGGUCACUGGUCGCGUGCGCUCGAGCUGACGGUGUCGUCUGACGGCUCCACGGUGACCAGCGCCGCCUCCGCCGAGAACAUCAGACUCCUGAAAUGCUAAUGGCCGUACACGAACAAGAGGCUCUAUGCAUCCAGGUGCAGGAUAAGCGCCAUGCUCAGAGGCGUCAUCUGGAGAAGGCCGCACAGUGCACUUAAGGCUGAGCUCGGGUGUAGUGCGCGCAGACAGAUAUGAUCAACUGACGGGCCGGCCAUCAGAUUUCUGUACGGAACUCAAGAUGAUUGGAGCCGACAUGGUUCGAUUGAUGUGUGUCAGGGUUGAUUGAGAGUGGAGGCGACACCCGGAUCUGUGAAGGAUGCGCCGAUACGGUCUCGACGUGUCUCGCAAUUUGUGCUAAUAUAUGAAGGCUAUGCCGUGGUAAUCAUUCAGUCGAUGCGAUAAUAAAUAAUAAAUAGGACAGAGACUGGAAUAAGAUUAUUAUAUUUGGAUGUAAGGGGUAGGUUUUGGCCAGCGCUAUAUUAGAAAUCGUGAGCGGCUAGUUGCAAUCAAUCGCGCGCUUCUUGCUGAGCAUCUGUGAGCGAGAAAAUACUUUCUCUGGAACGUUUCGUCGUAAAAUAUGUGUAUCUUUGGAAUAAGUUGCCAGAACAUGAAUGCAUUUUGGUGUCACUGUAUGCUGUUCUGGAACAGAACAUGCCGAGAUCGGCUGUGUAUGUCUAUGUGCGCUGGUGGCAAAUCAAGCAGCCGUACCAUGAAUCAAAGCGAUAUGUGAAUUAAAGUGAAUAUAUUUCACUAUU